CCUACGGGAGGCAGCAGUAGGGAAUCUUCCGCAAUGGACGAAAGUCUGACGGAGCAACGCCGCGUGAACGAUGAAGGCCUUCGGGUCGUAAAGUUCUGUUGUUAGGGAAGAACAAGUGCUAGUUAAAUAAGCUGGCACCUUGACGGUACCUAACCAGAAAGCCACGGCUAACUACGUGCCAGCAGCCGCGGUAAUACGUAGGUGGCAAGCGUUGUCCGGAAUUAUUGGGCGUAAAGCGCGCGCAGGCGGUUUCUUAAGUCUGAUGUGAAAGCCCCCGGCUCAACCGGGGAGGGUCAUUGGAAACUGGGAAACUUGAGUGCAGAAGAGGAAAGUGGAAUUCCAAGUGUAGCGGUGAAAUGCGUAGAGAUUUGGAGGAACACCAGUGGCGAAGGCGACUUUCUGGUCUGUAACUGACGCUGAGGCGCGAAAGCGUGGGGAGCAAACAGGAUUAGAUACCCUGGUAGUCCACGCUGUAAACGAUGAGUGCUAAGUGUUAGAGGUUUCCGCCUUUAGUGCUGAAGUUAACGCAUUAAGCACUCCGCCUGGGGAUACGGUCGCAAGACUGAAACUCAAAGGAUUGACGGCUGAGACGNGCGAGACGACGACGAGGGAGAGG
rnacentral:rRNA from 1 species